CGAAGGCGAACUGUCUGGAAACUUCCACCCCUCCCUGCUGAGCAACUACUAAAAAUGACUCCAGGUGCCAUCGGCAGCCUCAGUGCGAAGCCUCAUGCAGGCCGACCUCCGGACAAGAGGAGCACUUUAAGAAACAACACAGAGAAUUGGCUCCAUGCAGGGCUGGCCUAUUCGUCCUACGCAGAACCCAAAGGAGAACUGCCAGCAAAUGAGGGCAUUAGAAGAGCACGUGAACUUGUGUGCAUCCAGUCUUAUUUGUGGAGCUGCUGAGGUCUGUGAUGGUGCUGGUGGUGUAAAUGCAGAGGCAAGAGCUGGAUUUAUUGGAGGGUCUCUCGUUAGCCUCACUGUCCCGUGGUUUCUUGUUGCUCGUGAGAAUCUGCUUCAGGCUGGGUCGUGGUCUGCGUUCCACUUAGGACCUAUAAAACUACAGGGUUAUUGUCAGGUAUGGCUCUGAUGCAGUAUUAAUGGAUUGGAGUGGCCUGGGCUGUGAAAUGCAGAUAUUCUGUUAACCUGUUUAGUGGGAUGUCCUGUAUGAGAUAAUACACAAAUUAUAUGCUUUGUGCACAGCCAAUUGCUCUACCCAGCCAGGGUGUCCAACCUUGGCAACUUGGAGACUUGUGGACUUCAGCUCAACCUGGUUGGCUGAGGAAUUCUUGGAGUUGCAGUCCAUGUGGCUGUGGAUUUCAUCUCCUGCAUCCCUCUUCUGAAUUUUUUUACAAUAACCCAGUGGGGCAAGUUGAGCUGAAAGACUUUGAGUGGUCCAGAGUCCCACACAGAGCUUGCAGGACUGAGGGUGGACUGGAAGCUUCCUGGUCUUAUUCCCGCACUUAACUCCGAUACCCCACUCUCGCUGCUGGGUAUUCAGGUAACUCUGGUUUCCCCUGUUAAGACUCAGGUCUCUGGCCUUCAGUCUGUUCUACCCAAAGAAAUUUGAGCUGCAUGGCAGUGCUUCGGAUGCUGGCUGGGGAAUUCUGGGAGUUGAAGUUUACACAUUUAGAAGUUGCCAAAUUUGUAUUAAACACGGGUUAAUGUCUAGCUCAGGGGUAGGCAACCCAAAACACUCAAACAGCCACCUGGACCCAUUUCCCACCAAAAACAAAACACCGAGAGCCGCAAAACCCUUUUGAUAUCUAAAAUGAAGAUAACACU